GGCGGAUCAUAUGACUGACGGAAGUGGGGAGACCACAGGGAGUAUGAUCGUCAUGAUGCCGACCGUCUGGGCGCCGAAA
rnacentral:ncRNA from 2 species